GCCCCCGUAGCUCAGGGAUAGAGCAACGGCCUCCGGAGCCGUGUGCGCAGGUUCGAAUCCUGCCGGGGGCA
rnacentral:tRNA from 1 species